ACUCUGAAUAAGACGAGAAAAAAAAAUUCAUAUCAUCCAUUACAAAAAAAUUUCACUUGCAAAAUUUACAAAUAUUAAGGAUUAUUUUUGUUCUAUAGCCAACUUUAGCUAUAUAUAUGAUGUUUGUUUACAAUUUCAGUAGACUUACCUUCUGGCCUAUUCCGCCGUUUUGGAGCAACUCCAUUUCCUUGGCUUGGGACAACAAUGCCUUGAGGUCAACCUCAUUAUGCCUCACUACUUGUGCCAUCUCCUCGAUCGAUCGAUAACUAUCCUUUAAUUCUGCUAUAUAUAUAUAUAUAUAUGUAUUUUCUGUUUCUAUUCUUGAUGUCUAUAUAUCUCUCUUCCAAAGGCUAGCUCUAUUUAUACUGGCACAAACAGAGGGUACUGCGAUUAUUAUAUCCCAUAAUAUCCUAUCUUCAAAUAUUCCUUCCCUUUUCAAAGUAGGGAUCCGAUCCUGAUAAGUUUAACAUCAUCAUCAUCAUCAUCAUCAUCAUCGCCAAGGAUAUAGAGCAGCAGAUUCUGUUUAAUAAUUUUGUUGGAAUAAUUCUUUUCCAUUUCCCAGUUCAAUAGUUCUUUCUUUAGCUUGUUGCGCAGGCAAAAUUCCAUGAAGGCGAAAGGCACGUAGGCAUACUAGUUGUGGGCAAGGAAAUUGUACCUUGCUAGGGUUAGGAUUUCGUGUUGGCUGAGGAGGAGAGAAAUUCACGAAGAGCACGGAAUUGAUUGGUUGAUUGAAGAGGGGAGAACGACAGGUGGGCGAUUACUCCAACGACGUGUGGCAGAACCCCUAGAAUCCAGGAACCGUGUUAGGGUAGUAGGGAUUCCAAGAGCCUUCUUGAGUCCUUCGUUCUUGAGAGAAUGUCUAAACCCCUUUUAGUGCUUUUAGGUGGAAUCUCCGAGCCUUUAAGUCACCAAAAAGGGUUCUUUGAUCUUCCGAGAGUCCAAGUCUUGAGUCUAAAGAGAAGUCUCUUUCCCAAUGGAAUGGAAGGGUAUUUAUAGGGUUUUCUGGAAAGUAGUCAUGUGCGAGGCACAUGCUUUCAGGGAAAUUCCAGAAAUGCCCUUUAGUCAUUAGAAUAAUGCCCAUGUUGCCCUGUCCUUCUAGCCACCAAUCCAAUCCCUCAAUUAAUUCCCACAUCGAGCCGCCUCCACGAGUCUUCUGCCUCGGGACACGUGGAGGCUUCUCCCGGGUCUAGCACAUUUAUUUAUGACUUUUUCAUCUUCAUUCCAUUCGGUUAUGCGAACACUAAUUUGCACAUUUAAUGAGGCCGUGGAACCCUAAUUGCGCAUUUAAUUCAAUUAGGUCAUGUGAACUCUAAUUUUACACUUUGGCCCACAUUUGCCCCCUGCGCGAGAGUCGCAUUUUCAAAUAGACGAUCGUGCAAGAAAACUGCAAGCCUUUGAAUGAUUUUGCGGGACUUCACUUUACAUGUCUUGAAGACAAUAGUCCUAGAAGAGGGAACUCCUAGGGAGCCAAACCCUUAGAGUUAAACCCUAGGAAGGCAAGACCUAGCGAGGCUCUUCCUUGGACAUAUUGAAAAAUCUUCUGAAAUCUUUCUGUAUUUUGCCCAAUAUUUAUUUCCAAUUCCGCAAGCAGAUCAACUGUCCGAGCAGCCUCAAUACGAACAGAAACAGAUUCCGAUAACUUGGAAUGGAAAAUAGAAUUAAGACCAGGCAAAACAUUGAAUAGAGCGAUGUAGAGAUCUAAAAUUUCAAACAACUUGAGAAACGAUGGACGGGUACUACUAACGCCUUCUGCAAAGUUAAUCAAGUGCAAGGCGGAUUCUUUAACUAUACCCAUAAAACACACAUCAAAUGUGGAGUUACCAAGUCCACUAAAGAUUUGUUCACAGAGUUUCUUCUCCUUUAUGAAGAGAUCUUCAAAACAAACACGAGAUGCUCGUAUCCACAAUUUGAUCUUUGGUGCCAACAUAUCCCACUCCAAACUCCGGAACUCACCGAUGCUAUAUUUACCGACGCCGAGGUGUCGAAAUUCUGCAUCCACAAUCAACUUCCUUGAAGUCCUGUAGAAUUCAACGCAGUCGCCAACAUUACCGGCUGAGUUCAAUCGUUCAAUGAUACUCCUAAAACCAUAAACUUCGUCAAUAUGUCCAUCAUCCUGUAAUUCAUAGCUAAAAGUAUCGGUUAUUGUACUUGAAAAAAUGGUAGAACUCCUAUCGGCCAAGAAAGCAUUGUGGACUCUGUUGGUUUGUCGGGUCAAUAUGACCCGAAACUCUAACGGAAGGGUUUCCAUGCCCGUUUAGAUCAUGUUUUGAUGCUUUCAGUUUGGGGAUCUGAGAUUAUUCUCGAUCGUCUGAAGCUCGUCAAAAGUACUGAUCAAUCUCAUGGCGGUCUCCGUCGAAGUCGAAGAUGAUGAAUUUAAUAAUUCCGCCCGAAUAUUUUGUGUUCUACCAAUUCCAUUCAGACAAUACAAAAGAGAUAUAUAUAUCUGCCUAAAAAUUGAAAACCGAAAAUCAUCUCUGAACAGCAGGCUUUGAAAAUUACUCCUACUAGUAGUUUAUAAAUAUAAAUACUUUGAAGAUUGUAAGAAGUUCAUAGCCAUCCACUAGUAAAAGUACUUACCAUUACUAAUUGAUGUCACGUUACCGCAAUUAGGACGGAGAGAGAAAGUCGGACCAACUCUUUUUUUUUUUCAAAUCAAACAUUAAUUUUUUAUUUCCAAAAUCAAAUCUUAAUUUUUAUUUUCAAAAUAAAAUCAAAUCUUAAUUUUUUAUUUCCAAAAUAAAAUCAAAUCUUAAUUUUUUAUUUCCAAAAUAAAAUCAAAUCUUUCUUAAUUUGAAAAGAGAUUUUUUUUUUUUGAAAAUGAAAUAAAAUAAAAUCUCUCUUUUUUUUUUUUGGCAAAUCAAAUCAAAUCAUUUUUUUUUAUCAUUCACGCAAAAGAUUUAAGUGCAUGAAUAAAAUAAAAUAAAAAUGCAUGAAUUUAAGAGUCAUAUAAUCUCACAGAUCUAAUGAAGGGGAAUUGCCACAUGCCUACGACAUUCUCUAUGAAAAAAAUGAUGAAUUAAGGCAAAACGAGAUCCAAUCAUGUAUUAUUUUUUUUUUGAAAAUAAAAUAAAUCUUAUUUUAUUAUCUUUCAAAAAAAUAAAAUAAAAUCUUAUUUUAUUAUUAUUAUUUUUUAAAAUAAAUAAAUAAAUAAAUAAAACAUUUACUUAUCUUAUUUUUAAGAAGUAAGGAGUCGAUGAGAAUGUCUUGUAUCCAUAUUGAAGCCUUUGAUAAUUCUUUGAGCAAAGAUGAUUAUAGCUUUUUGAUGAUUCUGACAUCUUUUAUAUGAGACAAGUCUUCACAUGCUUCCGAUUUUUAUUUGCCAUAAAGAAAGAAUCCAUUAAAGCUUCACAUGCCAGUUGCCACUCCUCUGUUAGCCAACAAAAAAAAAAAACAUUGUUUUGCUGCUUUAUUUGGGUGUUAUAGCCACAGGCAAGCCUCUUUCUAUCCACGCCGAACCCUACUGAUUCAAUUUUUUAUUAUUUUUUUUUUAUUAAAAAAAAUCAAGAACUUUUGGAACACUUAUAUUUAGAAGAAGCUUGUACGUAUGGGAAUUGAUGAUCCAAAAACCCACAACCCAAUUCUUAAUCUCAGUUUCUUUCUUGCUAAUCUUUCUCAGUUGAUGAACCCUUUGGAUAAUAUUAACGAUCCUCUUAGGAGGUUGCAAUAUUCAGAUCCCACUCAACUACUAGCCAAAAUCCAAAUUUUACAUAACCUAUUGCAGGCCAUAAAUGUGAGUCCUUCUUUCCCAAAUAUUAAAGUAGUAAACGUGAAUAAUCUCUUGGGAUCAUAUAAUUAUCUUAGCCAAUUUGAUGGAGUGAUCACGAGUGAAGCUAUCAACCCCAUGAUUAAUCCUAUCCCCAACAACCGGCCUUUAAUAUAUAUACUCCAAUCCCAAACUCAUUUGGAUUCUUUAGCCCACAAAUAUUUAACAAUGUUAAUAGCUUAAGUGGUGUUGCAUGCAAUAUUACUCAUCAAACUGAAAAUCAGCUUCCGGAAAGUUCCAAUACCAAGGAAAUGGACAGUAUGAAGCCUACAAACAUCCCCUCCGGUUCAACCAACUCUGACAAUAUCUUUGAGGUUUUGGAGAAAUUUGUUGAUUGUGAUCAAGCCAAUAGUACUUCCUUCUUGCUUCUUUUUUUUUUUUAUUCAGGUAACUCUAGUCUUUCUUUUGUCUUCCGAGCCCCAUUACCUUGAUCAUAUCUUGGUUUUUUCCCUCGGAUCAUAAAGAAAGAUUGGUAUUUUUUUUUUCUUGCAGGCCCUCCCUGUUGAACAUUCUGCAGACUUGGGAACAACCAAGGAGGCCCCGUUUCUCAAUAAUUGGGGAAGGGAUCCCCUCUUUUGGUCUUUCCGACGUCUUUUGAGAGCGAGUCUAGACUUAUAAUCGUACAACACUUCCUCCGCCAGAGAAGAAAGGCGUGUUUCUUUAUGUCGCGGCUUGCGGAGGUUUGGGUGACUUCCUCCCUUCCGAUCGCAUUCUCCGCAUGUGCAUAGAGAAACAAGAAUAGCCUUUCAGUCCCUUUCGCUUCCUGUCUGACUCAUCUGACCGCCUUCAAGGAUGGCAACAUUGGACCGACUUCCCGUUGUGUGCUCUUCUUCAUACACAUUCAUUACUACUUGGGGGGGAAUUCACCCCUAUUCUAGAGGAUGUCUCUGCCCUCCACCAGUAGGUCGUACUUCGGUUUGCCCCCUGCACGUGAGUCACACCUUUGGUGGGACAACCGUGCAUAAUUUCUCCAGCAUUGAAAUCUUGCUACAAAUUUCUUAAUGAUUCGCGGAGCACGAUGGUGCAAGCCUUGAACAUAAAAUCCCUAGGAGGGGAGACCUGUAGGGGGCGAGCCCUAGAGAAGCUCUCCCUGGCUAUCUUGGAAAAAAUCUUCUAUCUUAUCCUUCCGAAUAUUACUUUCUUUUGGAAGUUCUCUCAUUUUCAAAAUUAAGAAGUCAACGAGAAGGCACCGAGUGAACAUACUUCAAAUUGGGGUGAACAAGCGAUGAAGGAGAUCUUUCCUCUAGGUACCCGAAUCCUGAGCGGCUUCAUUCUGGAACAUUGAUUAACGAGCUAGGAGAAGUAAAAGGUAAGAGGGGAGAGCCUCUGUAGGUGUUUGAACCCCAGGGGCCGAACCCUAGAAGACUGCCUAUUCCUUCACUCUUUUUUUCCUUCUUCCUUUCACUUGAAUCUUGGUCGUGUCCUAGCUUGGUUCCCCAAUAUAGUUGAUCGGAUACAUCUUCAUAGGACCCUUCUCCAGAUUUUCUUGCUCGAUUGUCUUCUGAGACUUAUUCUCGAAAUGCACAUUCUCUCUCUAUUAUCUGUGAGCAGAAGACUUAGAGGUGUUUUAGUUGUGAAGUUGAUGACUUCUCGAUCCUUCUUGGGCCUUGACAUGUCUCCCUUCCGUGCUAAGCUGGAUCUCUUCACUUUCAGUUAUCAUGUCAUUGCACUUUGUUCGGAGGUCACUUCACGUCCUCAUGAGAAUGACUUUCUUUAUGUAAGGGCCUCAGGAGCUUCAGGACGUCAUGGAUAGAUUGAAGGCCAAGCUUCGGGAAAUUGAUUCAUCUGCCCAAGACCUUAAGGAACUGUUAGCCUGAAGUUCGAAAGGCUCGAGAUACUGCCAUUGUCGACUUGGAGGCUUUAGCUAUGCCCCCAGUUCAGUUUGAUGUAUCAUGACCUUUGGAUCAUGACUUCAUGUAGCUUUUAUUUCUUCCAUCACUUUUGAAGAUAAAGUGUAUUAUCGAGGAUUUCAGGGUCAAGUGUCUCAAUCACUUUUGAAGUUGAAAGUAUAACUCUUUUUUUUUUCUGGAUCGAGGGCUGAUUAAUCAGGUGCCUCAUUACUUUUGAAGUUGAAAGUAUAACUUUUUUGGGUCGAGGGCUGAUUAAUCAGGUGCCUCAUUACUUUUGAAGUAGAAAGUAUAACUUUUUCGAGUCGAGGGCUGAUUAAUCAGGUGCCUCAUUACUUUUGAAGUUGAAAGUAUUUUUUUUUUGGGUCGAGGGCUGAUUAAUCAGGUGCCUCAUUACUUUUGAAGUAGAAAGUAUAACUUUUUCGGGUCGAGGGCUGAUUAAUCAGGUGCCUCAUUACUUUUGAAGUUGAAAGUAUAACUUUUUUGGGUCGAGGGCUAAUUAAUCAGGUGCCUCAUUACUUUUGAAGUAGAAAGUAUAACUUUUUCGGGUCGAGGGCUGAUUAAUCAGGUGCCUCAUUACUUUUGAAGUUGAAACUAUAACUUUUAAGAAAUUUGCUCUGAUCAAAAUUUGAUGUAUUUAUUUAACGAUCAAGAUAUAAUACAUUUUUUUUUCAUUUUCUAGUCUGCUAGGGCAGUAGCUUAUUCAGCAUUAUGCUUCUUAUUAUAGUUCGAUUUCACCUGCCGCUAAUUUUUCAUGAUAAAUUCUCCUCAAAUUACGACAAUUCAUGAUGGAAUGUCCUGGGUAUUGAUGAUACACGCAAAAGUCUGAUCUCUUCUUCAUCUCCUCGGUCACAACAAAUCUGGGUUUUGGAGGCUUCACCAUUCCAUUUUCUACCCAUUUCUCAUACAAAUCUUUAAAUAUCUCCUCACCACAAGUGAUAGCUUCGGGCUCUAGCGAAUUUAUAUUCUUUUUGAUUCUUUCCCUCUUGCCCCCCUGUGGCUCUGACUGAGAGUCUGUCAAAGCCGUAGUAGCUGUCCUCUUACUCUUCCAGGUAGCAAUCGGAUGGUUCACAGAUACUGCCAUAAUUUCUCCAUGGUCCUGUGCAAAGGUGGAAAGUGUCGCAAAGGAAUCACAAGACUUAGUGAUCAAGUGGGGCUUGAAGGCGUCGAGGGCGCCGUUGUUGCAAAUACUCACUAAAUUCUUCUCUUCGAUUGGCUCCACACACUUCCGCGCCUGGGCCCGAAAGGUGGAAAGUGUCGCAAAGGAAUCACAAGACUUAGUGAUCAAGUGGGGCUUGAAGGCGUCGAGGGCGCCGUUAUUGCAAAUACUCACUAAAUUCUUCUCUUCGAUUGGCUCCACACACUUCCGCGCCUGGGCCCGAAAUCUGUCAACAUAAUCAGAUAACUCCUCAUUCGAAUUUUGUUGAAUUCUCAUAAGCUCUAUAAUUGACACUUCCUUCUGAACAUAAAAGAAUUUUUUGAAAAACUGGUGUUUCAUAUCAUCCCAAUCUCGAAUCGAACCCUUCUCCAAAUUGUAGUACCAGCUGAAGGCACCGUUAGUGAGCGUCUUGUUAAACUCCCUCAAUAGAAUAUUGUGGUUGCUCACUUCAUCUAUUCCCAACCACGAGGACAUCGACUCCACAAAUCUUGCAAUAUGCUCUCUCGCAUUCCCUUUCUCUCCACUAUACUUAGGGAACUGAAGUGGAUGUUCAAUGUACCCAGCAGGGUAUGGCUGUCUUCUCACAUGCGCCGGGUAUGGUGGGGUGAAAUCCAGUUCCGCAGGCCUGACUGUCUGUCUACGCAUCUGAUUGAUUACAUCCAUCAUGUCUUCCCUUGUCGCAUAUUGACUGGUUUCUGGAGCCUUUUGGGACGUCAUCGCAUACUGGUUUAUCUGAGGUGUAUGUGGAACACAUGUUGAUGCACACUUGCCUCAUGUAAGAUUGGUUGUACUUGCUGGAUUAUUGGUUGUAUAUGGCUUGGGAUGGUUGGUAUCUGCACUUGUGAAAAUGCUGGGAGUGUAAUCGGGAUGAUGUUUAGCUGAGGCUGGCUAGCUUCCAAUCUAAGUGGUGGUACAUCACCACUGUUCUGGGGCUCCAAGUUGAUGACUGGAAUCGGCUGACUCUCCAUUGCUGGAGGUAUAAUCUGAUUCUCUUUGUUGUUGUUGUUGUUGUCCUCCACUUCUCCUGCUCGUCCCCCUUGCGAACUUCCUGGGAACAUGGUCUUGAAAGUGGGGAUUUGCAUCAACUGCUGGCAAAAAUUCUCCAUUUCUUCUUGCUUUCUCUGCAUCUCUAGCAUCAUGGCCAUCAUCAUCCCUUGCCCUUCUCGUGCUUCUUUCAAUGCUUUAAGCAUCUCCAGUUGCACAGCAUUCGUCUGGUCUCCCCCUGCAUCUUCGCCUUGCCUUCUUGCAUUGGUUUGUUGUUGAUUGGCCAUAUGUGGUGAUGUCGAACUCCCUUCCAAAGCGUCUUCAAUAAUUGGUUGGUCAAAAUCCAGGUUUGCGCCUUGGAAAACUUGAGUUACUUGUCUUGGAACUGGAUCCGGUGACGUAAUGCUAUUUGUUGGUGAAGCAGCUCUUCCUGUAAUUCUCCCACUUCGAGUCGUGGGCAUACCCUUCACGAAUUAUACACCUCCCCAGCAGAGUCGCCAAAGAAAUGUGGGCAAGGAAAUUGUACCUUAGUAGGGUUAGGGUUUCGUGUUGGCUGAGGAGGAGAGAAAUCCACGAAGAGCACGGAAUUGAUUGGUUGAUUGAAGAGGGGAGAACGACAGGUGGGCGAUUACUCCAACGACGUGUGGCAGAACCCCUAGAAUACAGGAACCGUGUUAGGGUAGUAGGGUUUCCAAGAUCCUUCUUGAGUCCUUUGUUCUUGAGAGAAUGUCUAAACCCCUUUUAGUGCUUUUAGGUGGAAUCUCCGAGCCUUUAAGUCACCAAAAAGGGUCCUUUGAUCUUCCGAGAGUCCAAGUCUUGAGUCUAAAGAGAAGUCCCUUUCCCAAUGGAAUGGAAGGGGUAUUUAUAGGGUUUUCUGGAAAGUAGUCAUGUGCGAGGCACAUGCUUUCAGGGAAAUUCCAGAAAUGCCCUUUAGUCAUUAGAAUAAUGCCCAUGUUGCCCUGUCCUUCUAGCCACCAAUCCAAUCCCUCAAUCAAUUCCCACAUCGAGCCGCCUCCACGAGUCUUCUGCCUCGGGACACGUGGAGGCUUCUCCCAGGUCUAGCACAUUUAUUUAUGACUUUUUUGUCUUCAUUCCAUUCGGUUAUGCGAACCCUAAUUUGCACAUUUAAUGAGGUCGUGGAACCCUAAUUGCGCAUUUAAUUCAAUUAGGUCAUGUGAACUCUAAUUUUACACUUGGGCCCACACUAGUAAAUGAUGAUUUUCUUCUAACCAGAAGUAUGAGCAGGUUAAAAGUAGAAGAAUAAGCAUCUCGCAGGCCAAAAAUCAAUAAAAAAACGAAAAGAAGAAAAAGAAAAGAAGAAGACAGCAAUAGCAAGACCAUAUUUUUCUUCUUCUUUCUUUUUAUCUUUUCUUUCUUUCUUUUUUGUUUCUUUUUAGACGGAGGGUUUUAUUUCAUCUUUGAAAAUAAACCUAAGAAUUUAUCAAAGGAAAUAAAGGAUAAACGACAAUACAAAUAUAUAUUUUUAUUUUAUUUUCAAAUAUAUACGCAUGCAUGAUAAAGAUUCACAAUUAUACACACAUAUAUAAUAGGCUACAACCAACAAUCUACUAAACAAUUUGUAAACCAUCGAGGUGUUUUAGUGACAACCUACCGUCUACCAAAUCGUUAUUAGUUAACGAGUUAGUGUAAAUUUUCAUUUUGGAAGCUAGUAUAAACUAUCAUCUCUCAAAUUGUUAUUAGUAGAGGAGCUACGAAUGUAAACUAUCGUCUAACAAACUAUAUUAGCUGAUGAACUAGUGUAAACUAUCAUUUACUAGAUGUAUGAGCAUGUUAAGAGUAGAAGAAUAAGCAUCUCGCAGGUAAAAAAAUAGGAAAAGAAGAAGACAACAAUAACAAGGCCACAUUUUUCUUUUUCUUCCUUUUUAUCUUUUUUUUUCUUUUUUGUUUGUUUUUAGACGGAGGACUUCAUUUCAUCUUUGAAAAUGUGGGUAAAGAAAUUGUACCUUAGGUUUUCAUGUUGGCUGAGGAGGAGAGAAAUCCACGAAGAGUACGGGAUUGAUUGAUGAAUUAAAGAGGGCAGAAGAACAUGUGAUCAAUUACUCUAAUGACAUGUGACAAAACUUUUAGGAUCCGAGAACCUUCUUAGGGUGCCAAAGAUCCAGGGAGUCUUCUAGGGUGUGCUUCGGGUUGAGAGAGAAUCUCCAAGUCUUCAAUCUUUCGAAAAGCCCUCUUCUUCAUAGAAUAGAAGGAGUAUUUAUAGAGUUUCCUGGAAAGUGGUCACAUGACAGACAUAUGACCUCGAGCAAAUUCCAAAAAUACCCUUAGUCACCAGAGUAAUGCCCAGAUCGUCCUGUCUUUCUAGCCACCAAUCCAAUUCCUCAAUCAAUUCUCAAAAUGAGUUGCCUCCAUAAGCCUUUUACCAUGGAGGCUCUUCCUUGAUCUCAUGAUACAAAGCUCUUAUUGCUCAAACCAUGCUUACUUGCUCUUCCUUCUUUAUUUAAGAAUCUCGUCGCCAGAAAUCAUCGGAAGAACUCUGCGCAAGACCCGGGAAGCCGCGUGUUACAAACCAGUCCCACAUCGAAAGAUAUGGAAAAAAAUUAGUCUAUAUAUAAGGAAUUAUGUUACUACCAAUAAUAUACUUUUAAGUCAUGACCUUUUGGGUGAGCCUGUGGUGGGAUAAGAUGACCCAAUAAUAUACUAUUGGGUCAGUGGUUUAAGGCCUUGGGAUUCGGACUUGGGAUUUGACCCAAGAUUUGUUUUGGGCAAUUUUACUCAGGUUGUUACAUAUGGUAUUAGAGCCGACUCUCGAAAGCUCGGGUCGGAUCAUCCGAUCGGGUUGCCGGAAGUGGGGACACGAAACCAGCCGAUAUUAUCCCACAAUGGCUAAAGAGGCAAAGAUCUGUGGAACGUAUAUGUGAUCGAUUUUGAUGGAGAUGUCAAAAAUUUAAGUGGGGUAGUUUAUAACACCUCAGUCCCACAUUGAAAGAUAUGGGAAAUACUAUUGUGCAAUGAUUUAAGCUAUCCAGCUAUAUUGUUAUAGUUUGGAUAUAUUCCAGUAUGAGAAUUAACAAACCCUGAAAUGGGAUAUUUUUAUUGCACUCUGGGAGUGGUGACGUUGAACAUGGAAGUUGUUCUGGAUAAGAUAGUAUUGAUUAAUAAAGGGCAUAUAUAAAGGGCUGAUCAUCCAUCGUGCUCAUAAGAUAAGAUGGUUCACAAAUAAAUUUUUAAGAAAACCUUUUCAAGAAAAGAAAAAGCUUGUUCACGGUCUUAUGACCUCUCAGAUGUUCAAUAUUGAUAUGAUAUUCCAGGAAUAUGAAUGAUUCAAGAUUUAAUUGCUUUACAGUUUUGUUUCACUGUUAAAGCAUGUCUCAAAGAAAACAUUUAAUUAUUGUUAAGAUAUUAAAGAAUGCUAUUACUUAUUGAGCAAUUGAAUGCUCAUUCUUGUUUUGUUAUAAAUGUUUUCAGCUAAUCAGGCUCCAACGGAGGGGUCUAAUAGAGACAAAGGAAAAGGAAAAGCUACUGAGUAGUAGGUAUAUGUUGUAAUAAAUAGUUUAUAUGUUUGUAGAUAUUUAACUAUCAUGUAAUAAGCACUUAAUGGUUACGUACCUGGUAUUAGAAGAACUCUGAUAUAAUAAAUCUAUCAAGUUUGAUAUUAUAUUAUGUUGAAUGCUUGAUAUCUUGAAGCACUGAAUAAGGGUUUAAAAUACCCGAAUUUGGGGGCGUCACACGCCCGAUUCGCCUCCUUUGCGUAUGUUUAACAUGCUCAUACAACUUGUCUAAUACUCCAUUGAUUAAUUCUAAGUAUCAUUAUAUUUCAUAACUUUCAUGUUUAAUAACUUAGAAUAACAUAUUUUAUCGUCAAAAGCAUCCACGUAGUACGAGCAUGCCCGACGCCCUCCGAUCGCCUCCGAUCGAAUGCACAAUAGUCCUAAAAAUAGCCAUUUUAGCCCCUUCUCCCGACCUCAAAUCUCAAAACUUAUAAAAUAAAAGUUUUAGGUCAACUUCUAAUAUUUUCGAAUCAUCUUGAAUCACCUCAAUCAGAGUUCGUAUAAAAAGGUUAUGCAUGUUUUACUAAAGAACGUCAAAGCUGACUUUCUGCACUUUUGGUUCAGCGCCCAUCCUAGGCCUAUUUCCAACGCCCCGGGGCUGGACGGCAGUACGUUCUCAGCCAAAAACUUCAAUUUUCAAAAAUCUUCAGUUUUGAAUGAUUUCAACAUGUCUACUUUGAAAUAUCAUAAAUUUCUCCUCCGAUAUCGAAAUGAGCUCGUUCUUAAUGGGUUGAAAAGCUUGCAACACCCUCUACAAAUUUCUCAGGACAAAAUAAUUUUCUGGAUUCUCUAACAAUCCUUUAAACUUUCUCAAAAGUCCAUCGAGACUAAGAUUUUUAUCAUUCAACAUACUUUACCAAAAUUUUCUGCCAUGACUUCGUUUUAACAUAUUUUUACUCCGUUCCAAUUAGAAUAUCUUCAUAAAUUCCUUAUCUAUAAAUCCUUAUUCCCGAAUUUUAUUUAUUACAACCCUAUCAACAAUAUUAAAAUCCAAUUUAAGUACUCUAAAUAAAUAAUGUCUAUCCUUUAAGCUUUGGCCUACGAUUCCAUUCUUGUUACCACUUCUUAUGCAAUUUAACAAGUUAUUUAUCAUGAUCAAAGCACACAUAACUUUAUUUACUCAAGGUCCUUCAUACUCUUUCAUUAAACAACCAUCGCCAACAACUAAUGAUUCAAGAAAGACUUCACAGAAAUGAAAAGAUGGAUGGUUCUUACCUUCUUAGUUAUUCUUCUUCUUCCUAGCUUAUGCUUUGUUAGCAUGAUAUACAUUGUUGGGCCCUCCAUCUACCAACUUAAGCUUUUAAGAUAAGUUGGUUACUUAACAUGGUAUCAAAGCUUUGGGUGUGCAAGGUCUUGGGUUCGAAUUUUUCCAGCUGCACAAUUAUCUUUCUAUUAAUUUAACAGUGCAAAUGCACUUUAAUUUCUCCCUUCUCUAUAAAAAAAAGUUGCGUUUGAGAGGGAGUGUUAGCAUGAUAUACAUUGUUGGGCCCACCAUGCAUCUAACAGCUUAAGCUUUUAGAUGAGUUGGUUACUUUGCUCUUCUUUCUCUUCUUAUUGGUAUUCGGCCUCUCUAUUUCUCUCUCUCUCUCACUCUCUUGUUUUCUUUCUCUUCUCUCUAGUUUGCCCUCUCUUCCUUUUUUUUUCUUGCAAAUGAAAUGAAUUGGCUAAGUGAAAAAUCCUCUAGAUCAAUUGAAUUCUCCACUAACUAACUCAACCAUACUUCUAAGGUUAGGUUAACUCGUGUAGGGUUAGGGAAUGAUAGGAUGACACUUGUAAGCUUAAUGUUUAAGGAUGACAAGAAGAUAUAAGCUAGCAUUAAAUUAAAUUUUCACCUUGCUAGAUGAGUCACACAUACUCUCCCUUUUGCUUCUUUAAUUGGUUGGAUCACCCCUCCCUUUCUUAGCUCAUAUUUUAAUUAUCCCAUGUGGGAUAAACAUCAAUCCUCUCCCUUAUCUUACUUUUUCACCCAACUUAUCUUUUAUGAGAUAACUACUAAGUCUCAUUCCUUAUCUUUUCUUCGAUAAGCCUUGUCAUUAAUCCUUAUCUCUUCCUUGUUUUCCUUCAACCCAAACUUACCAUAAAUAGAAAGUUUCCAUCUCACCUUCUCUCUUCUCCUUGUCCAUAUUCAAAUCCCCACAUGUUUAAUUCUAGCAAAUGACACUUGCCCUCUUAUAACUUUGGCUCCUAGUUUGGCUCACUUUUUGGCUCAAAGACCAAGCCAUGGCUCCUAUCCUUUGACUCUAAGCUUAAGCCACUCAAACCUUAGGCUCAACCCUUAGCUAAGCCCCUUUAAAUUCCUAACCAAGUCAUUUAAACCUUAGGUUUGGUUAGACUAGAAUUAAUUUAAUUUCUCUUUUUCUUUUAAAUUAGUUAGAUUUCCUAAUUUUUUAGUUACAUUUUUCGUAAUAUGCUUGGUUAGCUGACAAUCCGACUUUUGAUUUUCAAAAAUCCAAUUUCGCCACCAUUCCUUCUUUCCCGAAUAAACGCUAUGUAGUUCUUCGAAAUUUUAAAAAAAACGAAGUUGGGUUUUUAGCGUGAAUAGUUUUUUUUCAUACGACUUUUUCUAGAAAAAUAUUUUAUUAGAGAUUUCAUCUCGCCUUCUCAAAUAAACACUAUGAUGUAAUUCAAAAUUCUCGAAAAAGUAUGUUUAUUAGCGUUUUUCUGUGAUUUUAAAAAUAGUAACUUUUUCGUCUUUUUCUCGAAAAAAUUAUAUUCUCCCAAAACUCCCAACACUUAUACAUAAUCACGUAACACGUAAACUAGGUCAUUAAUCGACCUAAAUCAUGUAACACAUAAUAAUAUCUAUAAAAUUUUAUUUUAUUAGAUAUUCACAAAUAAAACCUAUUUUCAAGCCUAUCUGAAUUCUCGGGUCGUCACAUAGUAUUUAUAGAGUUUCAUGGAAAGUGUUCACAUGCCAGGAACAUGACCUCAUGGAAAUUCAAGAAAUACCCUUAGUCACCAGAGUUAUGCCUAGAUCAUCUUGUCCUUCUAACCACCAUGCAAUCCAAUCCCUCAAUCAAUUUCAAAAAUGAGUUGCCUCCAUAAGCCUUCUGCCUUGGGACCCAUGGAGGCUCCUCCUCGAUCUCAUGCUUCAAAGCAAUUGUUGCUCAAACCAUACUUUCUUACUAUUCCUUCUUUAUUUGAGAAUCUCGUCGAUGGAAAUCCUCGGAAGAACUCUGCGCAAGAACCAGGAGGCCGCGCCUUAGGGGGGCAAUCCUUAGGGGGCGGAACCCUAGGGAGCUGAACCCUAGGGGGGCCUCCUUCAGUUCUUUUCGUUCGUUUCAACCUUUCUUGGUCAGUUUUCAUCAUUUUCUCAUGAUUCUUGGUCCUGUAAGAAGCCUUUCUUGUCAUAGAGAUUAUAAGGCUAAUCAUUAUUUGGAGUUUCACAAGAUUUUAGUUUAUUUUUGUAGUCCAGGCUUAUUUCUUUGUCAUUGCAUCGAUGAAACCCCUUCUAGCAUGCCAAUCGAGAAAAUGAGGUAGCAUAUGCCCUAGGGUGCCGAACCCUAAGAGGUAAUUUAGAUUUCUUUUGUCCAUCUUUUGUCUGUUUUCCUUUUUUCAUUACGAUAGUUCCAACCAAAUCCAGUCGGAGAAGAAAUUGGUUUUAUCUUUUCUUUAAGGAGAAGUCAUCUUGGAGUGGUUGAACCAUAGGGUGGCCGAACCCUAAGGGGCCAAAAUCCUAGGAUUUUUCCCUUUUUGCUGAUUUAAUGCUUCGUUCAUUAAUUGAAGUCUUGUUCAUUUACUUUCGUCUUUUCAUUUAAUUCAAUUAAAUCAUAUGUAAACCCUAAUUUGUACUUGGGCUCACAGAAAAUAAACCUAAGAAUUCAUCAAAGGAAAUAAAAGAUAAAUGACAAUACAAAUAUUGCGUUUUGUUUUGUCUUAUUUUUUUAAUUUUAUUUUCAAAUAUAUACGCAUGCAUGAUAAAGAUUCACAAUUAUGUAUAUAUAUAUAUACAUAUAGAUACAUAAUAUGGUAAAUAAUAGGUGGUAGUUGUUUUAUUUAUAAUAUGGUAAAUAAUAGGUGGUAGUUGAUUUAUUUAUUACAUGCUAAUAACAGCCAUGAGUUGAUAGUUGAUUUAUUUAUUAUAUGCUAAUAACAGCUAUCAGUUAUUGGUUGAUUUAUUUAUAUAUCGUGCUAAUAACAACCAUCAACUUGUAUAUAGUUUCUUGAUUUACUGCUGAUCGGAAGAUUACUGAUCGUUCAUUUAGGCGUUGGUGGGACUAAUGUUAACACCAUAGAUAACUAAACCCGUCUUCAUAGUCACGCUUUCAGUCCCGUCAAGAGCAAAUUUGAUAUCUCCAUAGUCAAACUUAUUGAAGAAUUCCCCAGCUUUGAGCGAAAAUGGUGUGUUUCUCGGAUAAUUCAUCAAUCCAUAUCCGUUCACUUGCGAGGAUCCAUUCGGAAGAGUAAGUGUAAGACUCACCGGACUUGCUAUGUUAAAGUUGUCUUUCAGCAGCACCACAAAAGAUACCUCAUAAGAUAAAUUUUCAAGCUUUUCUGUCAUAUAGUUUCCGUCAACAUGUAGGACUAAGCUACCAAUUAAUUCAGCACUGUCAGGACUGUAAAAAAUGAUAGUAGAAUUAAAGUCAGAAACUUUUGAUAUAAGGAGCUUAAAUUCAUUAAUAUAGUACAAUUAAUGCGAGUCCUUCUAUCUAACUAGACUUCAAUAAAAUUUCUUUAGUCCUUCUAUCACUUUAAUUUAAUGACAAAGUUGCUUAUAUCCCUAUUUUUAACUGAAUAAAAUUCAGGUGUUUAAGCACAAAUCUUGACCUUUGACGUCAAUUAAGUUAACUAAAUCUUAUUUCUACUUACGUAAACUUCCAGCCCGAAGGGUUGAAAUAAUUGAGUUUCUCAGCAGGUAUAUAAGCGCCAGAACUUUGAAUAAGACAAGAAAAAAAAAUUCAUAUCAUCCAUUACAAAAAAAUCUCACUUGCAAAAUUUACAAAUAUUAAGGAUUAUUUUUGUUCUAUAACCAACUUUAGCUAUAUAUAUGAUGUUUGUUUACAAUUUCAGUAGACUUACCUUCUGCCCUAUUCCGUUGUUUUGGAGCAACUCCAUUUCCUUGGCUUGGGACAACAAUGCCUUGAGGUCAACCUCAUUAUGCCUCACUACUUGUGCCAUCUCCUCGAUCGAUCGAUAACUAUCCUUUAAUUCUGCUAUAUAUAUAUAUAUAUAUAUAUUUUCUGUUUCUAUUCUUGAUGUCUAUAUAUCUCUCUUCCAAAGGCUAGCUCUAUUUAUACUGGCACAAACAGAGGGUACUGCGAUUAUUAUAUUCCAUAAU
rnacentral:lncRNA from 1 species